rnacentral:rRNA from 1 species
AUUGAACGCUGGCGGCAUGCCUUACACAUGCAAGUCGAACGGUAACAGGUCUUCGGAUGCUGACGAGUGGCGAACGGGUGAGUAAUACAUCGGAACGUGCCUGGUAGUGGGGGAUAACUACUCGAAAGAGUGGCUAAUACCGCAUGAGAUCUACGGAUGAAAGCAGGGGAUCGCAAGACCUUGUGCUACUAGAGCGGCCGAUGGCAGAUUAGGUAGGUGGUGGGAUAAAAGCUUACCAAGCCGACGAUCUGUAGCUGGUCUGAGAGGACGAUCAGCCACACUGGGACUGAGACACGGCCCAGACUCCUACGGGAGGCAGCAGUGGGGAAUUUUGGACAAUGGGCGCAAGCCUGAUCCAGCAAUGCCGCGUGCAGGAUGAAGGCCUUCGGGUUGUAAACUGCUUUUGUACGGAGCGAAACAGCUUCCACUAAUACUGGGGGCUAAUGACGGUACCGUAAGAAUAAGCACCGGCUAACUACGUGCCAGCAGCCGCAGUAAAAC